rnacentral:rRNA from 1 species
UGGGGAAUUUUGGACAAUGGGGGCAACCCUGAUCCAGCCAUGCCGCGUGUGUGAAGAAGGCCUUCGGGUUGUAAAGCACUUUCGGACGGAACGAAAUCGCACGGGUGAAUAUCCCGUGUGGAUGACGGUACUGUAAGAAGAAGCACCGGCUAACUACGUGCCAGCAGCCGCGGUAAUACGUAGGGUGCGAGCGUUAAUCGGAAUUACUGGGCGUAAAGGGCUCGUAGGCGGCCAACUAAGUCAGACGUGAAAUCCCUCGGCUUAACCGGGGAACUGCGUCUGAUACUGGAUGGCUUGAAUCCGGGAGAGGGAUGUGGAAUUCCAGGUGUAGCGGUGAAAUGCGUAGAUAUCUGGAGGAACACCGGUGGCGAAGGCGACAUCCUGGACCAAUUCUGACGCUGAGGAGCGAAAGCCAGGGGAGCAAACGGGAUUAGAUACCCUAGUAGUCCCUGAGCGGGCUGGCAAGGCGCAU